UUUGGAUUUAUUUUAAGUUUUAGUACUGAAACAUUGGAAAAUUUCGUGUUUCAGUGGAAAAGAAUACAGGGACAGAACCCGAGGAGUCGAGUCAAGGCCAACAGGCGACUCGUUUGAGAUACAGAGACUAGAGGAGCAGCAGACUGAGCUGCUGAAGUGUGUGAAGUCAUCAGCUUGAAGCCUUCGGGUAUAAUUUAUACCCUAACUGUAAAUACUUCUUUUGAUGUAUAUAUUGCACAUAAAUGUAUGGACAUGUAAAAAUGGGUCUUGAGCAGCUUGUACACAAAUUUGUAUGAAGUUUGUAAUAAAGUUUAGUUUAUGUUUC